rnacentral:rRNA from 1 species
AGGGGGACAACAGUUGGAAACGACUGCUAAUACCGCAUGACGCAUUUUGAUCGCAUGGUCGAAAUGCCAAAGAUUUAUCGCUGAAAGAUGGCCUCGCGCCUGAUUAGCUAGUUGGUGAGGUAACGGCCCACCAAGGCGACGAUCAGUAGCCGGACUGAGAGGUUGACCGGCCACAUUGGGACUGAGAUACGGCCCAGACUCCUACGGGAGGCAGCAGUGGGGAAUAUUGGGCAAUGGGCGCAAGCCUGACCCAGCAACGCCGCGUGAAGGAAGAAGGCUUUCGGGUUGUAAACUUCUUUUAAGUGGGAAGAGCAGAAGACGGUACCACUUGAAUAAGCCACGGCUAACUACGUGCCAGCAGCCGCGGUAAUACGUAGGUGGCAAGCGUUGUCCGGAUUUACUGGGUGUAAAGGGCGUGCAGCCGGGCAUGCAAGUCAGAUGUGAAAUCUCAGGGCUUAACCCUGAAACUGCAUUUGAAACUGUAUGUCUUGAGUGCCGGAGAGGUAAUCGGAAUUCCUUGUGUAGCGGUGAAAUGCGUAGAUAUAAGGAAGAACACCAGUGGCGAAGGCGGAUUACUGGACGGUAACUGACGGUGAGGCGCGAAAGCGUGGGGAGCGAACAGGAUUAGAUACCCUGGUAGUCCACGCUGUAAACGAUGGAUACUAGGUGUGCGGGG